AUGAGCCUAGGCGAGCUGAGAUAAGUUAUAAUGAAAAUGAAAAAAAUAAGGCUAGGCGAGAACUUAUAUGCAUCACAUAGCAAAUUCCAAUUACCAAAUGCUUGCUGUUAAAAUUUUCCAGGAAAAUAUUUUCUAUAUAAUUUUAAUAAACUUUUAAAACAUUUAGUUUAAAGAACUUCUAACGAAAGAUUUUGACUAUUUUUAACAAUCCUCUCAAAAAGGCAUCAGCAGCAGACAUCUUGCAAUGCUUUUUUAGCUUAUUACAGAUCAAAUAGAGGGUCUACUCUCAUACAGAUUAUUCAGAUGACGUGUUUGUUCAAUAUAGACAUACAAUUGAAAACUAUUAAAAAUUG
rnacentral:lncRNA from 1 species